AGUGAACGCUGGCGGUAGGCCUAACACAUGCAAGUCGAACGGCAGCACAGGAGAGCUUGCUCUCUGGGUGGCGAGUGGCGGACGGGUGAGGAAUACAUCGGAAUCUACUCUGUCGUGGGGGAUAACGUAGGGAAACUUACGCUAAUACCGCAUACGACCUACGGGUGAAAGCAGGGGACCUUCGGGCCUUGCGCGAUUGAAUGAGCCGAUGUCGGAUUAGCUAGUUGGCGGGGUAAAGGCCCACCAAGGCGACGAUCCGUAGCUGGUCUGAGAGGAGGGUCCGCCACACUGGAACUGAGACACGGUCCAGACUGCUACGGGAGGCAGCAGUGGAGAAUAUUGGACAAUGGGCGCAAGCCUGAUCCAGCCAUACCGCGUGGGUGAAGGAGGCCUUCGGGUUGUAAAGCCCUUUUGUUGGGAAAGAAAUCCAGCUGGCUAAUACCCGGUUGGGAUGACGGUAACCAAAGAAUAAGCACCGGCUAACUUCGUGCCAGCCGCCGCGGUAA
rnacentral:rRNA from 1 species